AAACAGUAUUGUCUAGGACUGGCCCAAAUAUUAGAAAAUGUAAACAUUUGAUAAUAGCCGAACAGAGUCCAUAAGCAUAGAGGAAAUUUCAGUCAUUGAUUUAUCUGGAUUUAAUAGUACAUAAUUCGUAUUCUGUAAUUAUAGUAAGACUUUAGCCUUUUUCUUGGUCUCUAUUAAUCAUUAUAUUGUGUUAAUAUACUAUAAUCUAUAUCACAAAUUUACAAUGUCAGAUGCGCACAGACCGUCAUUGGCGUCAUACGAAUAGACAUAAAUUUUCGAGUUUUCUACUUCUACUAACAUUUUUAAAGUUUUCAUUGUGAAUCACCUGUUUAUCUCGAAUUCAUUAAUCAUUUGCUACUUAUAUUUAUUUGAUAGUGUCAUAUCAGAGCUGUCAUAUAGUGAAUAAUCCGUUUACACACAAGCAAUCCUGGAUAUGAUAUAGGGCAAUUGAUAAAACUAGAAUAGUGAAGCGAAUAGUGCGAAUAGUGCGAAUAGUCGACGAAUAGUACGAAUAGUCCCCUAAUAGUCGACGAAUAGUGCGAAUAGUCCGCGAAUAGUCGACGAAUAGUGCGAAUAGUCCGCGAAUAGUCGACGAAUAGUACGAAUAGUCCGCGAAUAGUCGACGAAUAGUACGAAUAGUCCACGAAUAGGCGACGAAUAGUGCAAUAGAGACUUUGCAAGGCUUUGCAGCAGUGCUGUAGAACUAAAUUUACCGGGGGGGGGGGCUCUGUUGACAAACAUGAAAUCGUGAAAACAUUCGUCGACGUACGUCAAUGACGUCAUACGUCUAGUGAUUGUCAUCAGUGGCGCCGUGGCCGGGGGGGGGGGCAUGGCCCUCCCCUAUUGUUGACACCCGUCGUAAAAUUGCCACUGCUGCCGGAAAUUGUCGGAAAAUUGUCAAGGCUGUCGGAAAUUGUCAAAGUUGUCGACGGGGGGGGGGGUGAAGAUUUAAAAUGUUGUCGUCCGGAAAACUUUUUGGUUUGUCGGAAAAAUUUUUCGGUUUGUCGGAAAAGUACUGCCCUUGCCCCCCCCCAAAAAAAACAUGGGCCCCACGGUGCCACUGAUUGUCAUUCUACUUCCUGUUAAAUAUUUGUUAAAACUCAGUGGUCCCGUAAUUUUUACCGAUUACGUAUGACGUCAUUGACAUCAACGAAUGUUUUCACGAUUUCAUGUUUGUCAAUAGAGCCCCACCCCCCGCUUCGGUAAAUUUAGUUCUACAGCACGGUGGAAAGCCUUGCAAAGUCUCUAUUGCACUAUUCGUCGACUAUUCGUACUAUUCGUCGACUAUUCGCGGACUAUUCGUACUAUUCGUCGACUAUUCGCGG
rnacentral:lncRNA from 1 species